AUUGAACGCUAGCGGGAUGCUUUACACAUGCACGUCGAACGGAGUGGCGGACGGGUGAGUAAUAUAUCGGAACGUGCCCAGUAGCGGGGGAUAACUACUAGAAAGAGUGGCUAAUACCGCAUACCAUGGGAUCGGCCGAUAUCGGAUUAGCUAGUUGGUGGGGUAAAGGCUCACCAAGGCAACGAUCCGUAGCUGGUUUGAGAGGACGACCAGCAACACUGUGACUGAGACACGGUCCAGACUACUACGCGAGGCAGCAGUGGGGAAUUUUGGACAAUGGGGGAAAGCCUGAUCCAGCCAUCCCGCGUGUAGGAUGAAGGCAUUCGGGUGGUAAAGUACUUUUGGCAGAGAAGCGGUAUCUGCAGAAUAAGCACCGGCUAACUACGUGCCAGCAGCCGCGGUAAUAC
rnacentral:rRNA from 1 species